CAGCAGUGUGAAUAUUGCACAUGGGGGAAACCCUGAUGCAGCCCUGCCGCGUGUGUGAAGAAGGCUUCGUGUAAGCACUUUCAGCGAGGGGAAAGGUUGAUGCUUAAUACGCUUGGCUGUGACGUUACUCGCAGAAGAAGCACGGCUAAAUCCGUGCCAGCAGCCGCGGUAAUACGGACGGUGCCAGCGUUUAUAGAAUUACUGGGCGUACAGCGCACGCGGGCGGUCGGAUAAUUAGAUGUGAAGCCCCGGGCUCAACCUGGGAAUUGCAUUUAAAUGUCCAGCUAGAGUCUUGUAGAGGGGUGUAGAAUUCCAGGUGUAGCGUGAAAUCGUAGAGAUCUGGGGGAACCCGGGUGGCGAAGGCGGCCCCCCUGGACAAAGACUGACGCUCAGGUGCGAGAGCGUGGGGAGCAAACAGGAUUAGAUACCCUGGUUGCCACGCCGUAAACGAUGUCGAUUUGGAGGCUGUGUCCUUGAGACGUGGCUUCCGGAGCUAACGCGUUAAAUCGACCGCCUGGGGAGUACGGCCGCAAGGUUAAAAUUCAAUUGAAUUGACGGGGGCCCGCACAAGCGGUGGAGCCCGUGGUUUAAUUCGAUGCAACGCGAAGAACCUUACCUGGCCUUGACAUGUCUGGAAUCCUGCAGAGAUGCGGGAGUGCCUUCGGGAAUCAGAACACAGGUGCUGCAUGGCAUCGUCAGUUCGUGUCGUGAGAUGUUGGGUUAAGUCCCGCAACGCAGCGCACACCCCUGUCCUUUGUUGCCAGCAUGUAAUGGUGGGAACUCCAAGGGAGCCUGCCGGUGGAGUAGAACCGGAGUGUAAGGUGGGGAUGACGUCAAGUCAUCAUGGCCUCUUACGGCCAGGGCUACACAUCGUGCUACAAUGGCGAGUACAUGAGGGCUGCAAGCAAGCGAAUCCCACGUGAGCGAUAUCCCAAAAAGCGCGUCGUAGUCCGGAUCGGAGUCUGCAACUCGACUCCGUGAAGUCGGAAUGCGCUAUUAGCAGUCGUUUCAAAUCAGUAAUCCCCGUUGACUGGUGCAAUACGUUCCCGGGCCUUGUACACACCGCCCGUCACACCAUGGGAGUGGCCGGCACCAGAAGUAGCAUAGCUUAACCUUCCGGAGGGCGCUCGACUUG
rnacentral:rRNA from 1 species